rnacentral:rRNA from 1 species
UAGUCCACGCCGUAAACGAUGGAUACUAGGUGUCCGGGAUAUUAACCUCCUGGGUACUACAGUUAACGCGUUAAGUAUCCCGCCUGGGGAGUACGGUCGCAAGGCUAAAACUCAAAGGAAUUGACGGGGGCCCUCACAAGCGGUGGAGUAUGUGGUUUAAUUCGAAGCAACGCGCAGAACCUUACCUACCCUUAACAUUUCACGACGUAUACAGAGAUGUAUAUUUCUCUUCGGAGACGUGAGGAUAGGUGCUGCAUGGCUGUCGUCAGCUCGUGUCGUAAGAUGUCUGGUUAAGUCCAAUAACGAGCGCAACCCUUGUCUUUAGUUGCCAUCAUUCAGUUGGGCACUCUAAAGAGACUGCCGGUGACAAACCGGAGGAAGGUAAGGAUGACGUCAAGUCAGCAUGCCCCUUACGCCCUGGGCUACACACGUGCUACAAUGGUCGUGACAAAGGGUCGCUAAUCUGCAAAGCAUGCUAAUCUCAUAAACACGGCCUCAGUUCGGAUUGCGGG